GACGAACGCUGGCGGCGUGCUUAACACAUGCAAGUCGAACGGAAAGGCCCUGCUUUUGUGGGGUGCUCGAGUGGCGAACGGGUGAGUAACACGUGAGUAACCUGCCCUUGACUUUGGGAUAACUUCAGGAAACUGGGGCUAAUACCGGAUAGGAGCUCCUGCUGCAUGGUGGGGGUUGGAAAGUUUCGGCGGUUGGGGAUGGGCUCGCGGCUUAUCAGCUUGUUGGUGGGGAAGUGGCUUACCAAGGCUUUGACGGGUAGCCGGCCUGAGAGGGUGACCGGCCACAUUGGGACUGAGAUACGGCCCAGACUCCUACGGGAGGCAGCAGUGGGGAAUAUUGCACAAUGGGCGGAAGCCUGAUGCAGCAACGCCGCGUGCGGGAUGACGGCCUUCGGGUUGUAAACCGCUUUCGCCUGUGACGAAGCGUGAGUGACGGUAAUGGGUAAAGAAGCACCGGCUAACUACGUG
rnacentral:rRNA from 1 species